AUUACCGAGUUUACAACUCCCAAACCCCUGUGAACAUACCAAAUUGUUGCUUCGGCGGGAUCGCGCCGGCGCCUUCGCGGCCCGGACCCAGGCGCCCGCCGGAGACCCCAAACUCUUAUUUUUUACGUGGAUCUUCUGAGUAAUACAAGUUAAUAAAUUAAAACUUUCAACAACGGAUCUCUUGGUUCUGGCAUCGAUGAAGAACGCAGCGAAAUGCGAUAAGUAAUGUGAAUUGCAGAAUUCAGUGAAUCAUCGAAUCUUUGAACGCACAUUGCGCCCGCUAGUAUUCUGGCGGGCAUGCCUGUUCGAGCGUCAUUUCAACCCUCAAGCCCCCCGGGCUUGGUGUUGGGGGAUCGGCGGCGGCCCUCCGGGGCCCCGCCGUCCCCGAAAUCUAGUGGCGGUCUAGCUGUAGUCCUCCUCUGCGUAGUAACUCACCUCGCUCUGGAACUCGGCUUGGCCACGCCGUAAAACCCCCCACUUCUGAAGGUUGACCUCGGAUCAGGUAGGAAUACCCGCUGAACUUAAGCAUAUCAAUAAGCGGAGGAAAAGAAACCAACAGGGAUUGCCCCAGUAACGGCGAGUGAAGCGGCAACAGCUCAAAUUU
rnacentral:rRNA from 1 species